rnacentral:lncRNA from 1 species
UUCAGAUGCAAUGAGUGUUUCUUCUCGUUGUUCUGUGCUCCUGUCCUGCACCAUAAGAGCAUGUCCCAGGUCAUCAUGUUCUUUUGACCAGGCUCCUGGAAUGAGAGACGCUUGGAGCUGACCUGAACUGGACCUCUAGAAGCAGAGAUGCUGAGAACAUCUGCAGAUACAUGAUGGAUUGAGCAGUCCCUGAGUCAUAUACUCUACCAGAGAAUGAAUGAUGUCUGGUAAAUAAGAUGAUGAAUCUGACACAUAAAAGUACUGAGGGCCCAGUCAAGGCAAUAUCACUGGCUGUGAAAUGCUGAAGAGAAUCAGUUGAAAGAGAAAGAAGAAUGAAUUGGAAAAGCAAAUACUUCUGUGUUCUACUGUCAAAUGUGAUGCAUUCAAAUAAGGGAUGUUAUGACAGAAAAAACAAAUCUUCCUCAACUUGUCCACAUCAGUUCCAUUCCCUCAUUUAUAGGGAAGCUUGAGGAAUGUUUAGUGAAAUGCUGGCAAAUAGACUUCAAGAGAAAGUCUAAUUAGUAAUGUUUUUUCUUCUAAGGUAAGUAGAGAAAAAAAGGUAAUUAUGGAAACCCCAAGUUUCGUUCUCAAAUUUAAGCCCAACUUAAAUAUAGUUUAAGGUCUUUCUUCCUUUAAACUCACCACUCUUACUGCUUUUUGAUUUUGUGGUGGUUCAUCCAUAUUAAUGUACCUAAUGACAGGCACUCUGAAAAGGUGAGAAUGAAUUCUUUUCCUUUGACAUAUCAGCUGAGGAUGAUGUUACAAAGCAUGUCUUUCAAUGUGUAUCUGCAUGGACUCCGGGUCUGAGAGAAUGAUAUAUACUUCUACUUUAUGCCUGCAAGAUUCAAAAGGCCUUUUCAAAUAUUCAUGUCUUUUUCUUUUUCCUUUUUAUUCUCUGCUGGUAUGUGUUAUGUGAUGAGAAGAAUGUCAGAGUCUCUGGAGUCUUAUUUUUAAGUUUUAGGCUUGCCUGAGGGGGGAAAUAUAUUGGAAAUUUGCUGGUCAAGCUGUUCACAUUUUCUCAUAACAUGUCUAAUAAUUGCAAUGCAGUUUGUUCAAAUAAUUUAGUCAGGAUUUGCAUACUUAGCAUGAUUGACUCUGAAGUGAGUUAUUGGGCAGUGCCUGGCAUUCAAUCAGUAACACCUGAGGAGAACAUUGCCUUUGUGUUGCAACCAAGAAGAAGUUAAAAAAGGCACAGAGAUGAGGGAUCUUUUUUUUAUAAGGGGAAUUCUGAUCAUUCUUCUCUGAUCUUGUUUUCAACUUGUGUCUUAAUUUCUUCAUAUUUGAUGCCUCAAGUUAAUAGGAUUUGUAUUGCCAUAGGCACUAUUGCCAUUUCAUAUGCUGUAUUAGGGAAGCGGAGUUGCUGAUUAGAAAAGUGAUAAUGCAACUUCCUCUUCUUUCUAAAUUAACCUUGGAGUGGAAGGGAAAUGCAUUCAUGAUUUUGUUAUUAUACUCACUAGUAUUGGCGGUUGUUUGUCCUUUUUAUUUUCUGUGGUUUUGAAAACUUAACAUAUACAUCCAUGGAGUAUAUUACUUAGUGUCUUUUUCUUCCAUCACAUUUCUGGACUAACUUUUGAAAAAAUAUUUUGCUUUUAAUUUUCAUCAGCUUCUGAGGCUCAUCUAUCUCCAAAUCAACCAGGAAAAAAAAGUAGAAGAAAAUCACCAGCUGUUGGGAAAGUUAUUUAGAGGAUGUUAGCCAGAUUAAUCUUUACAUAAUAAUUAUGAAUUAGUAACGUUUCUCCUCCAUAAAAUCCACAUAUUUAGUGAGCUUCAGAGAACAUAGAAGAGGCAAGAGAAAAUGACAGUGAAGUGAUGUAUUAGCCAUGGCUCUCUAGAGGGACAAGACUAAUAAGAUAGACAUAUAUAUGAAAGGGAGUUUAUUAAGGAGUAUUGACUGACACAGUCACAAGGUGAAGUCCCACAAUAGGCCGUCUGCCAUCUGAGGACCAAGGAAGCCAGCCCAAGUCCCCAAACCUCAAAAGUAGGAAAACCAACAGUGCAGCCUUCAGCCUGUGGCCAAAGGCCCGGGAGACCCUGGUAAACCACUGUAUAGGUCCAAGAGUCCAAAAGCUGAAGAACCUGGAGUCCGAUAUUCAAGGGCAGGAAGCAUC